rnacentral:misc_RNA from 1 species
GCUGACUUUUGCCGAGGUGGUGAAGUUCAACGAGGACAAUGGAGCAACAGUGUUAUAUGAUGUGGAAACUGUAUCCACAUAUUCAUAUGCUGGAUCAUCAUGGAUUGGGUAUGAUGAUACCUUGUCUACCACCACUAAUAUUAGAUUUGCUCAAGCCCUUGGGCUUCGUGGGUAUUUCUUUUGGACCCUUAGCUAUGAUGAUGAGUGGAAAAUCUCAAUGCAAGCUUCAAGGGCAUGGCCUAUCGAUGAAUUAUAUUAAAGAUUGGGAGAUGGUAUAAUUCAUUAUAAAUUUAUAAUUGUUAUUUCUAUUUACAAGUGAUUAAAGACUUCAUGUAAGAAGGCUAGCUGACAAUUGAAGAGAAAAUGGAAUAGUUUCCAUAUGCAAGCCCGAUAGAUAUAUAGAAGCGAAAUGUGAUGAAUACUAGCAAAAAGAAAUUAUAUGUGAAAGGAGUAAAAUAAUGAGGGUGGUGUGUGGUAGUUCAGCGGUUGUAAAGAUGUUAGAGCCUAUAUAUAUUAUAA